UACCUCGUUCUUUUACAGCUGA
rnacentral:miRNA from 1 species